rnacentral:rRNA from 1 species
AUUGAACGCUGGCGGCAGGCUUAACACAUGCAAGUCGAGCGGGGGAGGGUAGCUUGCUACCUAACCUAGCGGCGGACGGGUGAGUAAUGCUUAGGAAUCUGCCAUUUAGUGGGGGACAACAUUCCGAAAGGAAUGCUAAUACCGCAUACGUCCUACGGGAGAAAGCAGGGGAUCUUCGGACCUUGCGCUAAAUGAUGAGCCUAAGUCGGAUUAGCUAGUUGGUGGGGUAAAGGCCUACCAAGGCGACGAUCUGUAGCGGGUCUGAGAGGAUGAUCCGCCACACUGGGACUGAGACACGGCCCAGACUCCUACGGGAGGAAGCAGUGGGGAAUAUAGGACAAUGGGCGGAAGCCUGAUCCAGCCAUGCCGCGUGUGUGAAGAAGGCCUUAUGGUUGUAAAGCACUUUAAGCGAGGAGGAGGCUACCUAGAUUAAUACUCUAGGAUAGUGGACGUUACUCGCAGAAUAAGCACCGGCUAACUCUGUGCCAGCCGCCGCGGUAAUAC